AUGAAGGGAUGGCAGAAUGCACGGAUGACUGAUCACUUUAAUGUCUCCAAUGGCCUGAAAAGGAUAGCAAGGGAUCUAAAGAACUGGGAGAUAAACACACUGGGUAAUCUGAAUCAGAAGAUAAAAUGUUUAAAGACUGAACUUGAAGAGGUGAGAAGGAAAGAUAUAUCACAGGAACAAGUAUCACGUGAGCUAUUUUUGAGAGAAAAACUAAAUAGACUAGAGCAGCAACAAGAUACAUACUGGAGACAAAGGGCGCAUGCCAACUGGUUAAAGUACGGUGACAGAAACACAAAGUACUUCCAUGCCUUUGCUUCUGAAAGAAAGAGAAAUAACACAAUAUCCAAGUUGAAAAGGGAUGAUGGUGGUUGGGUGGAAGGCCAAGCAAAUUUGAAGGAACUCAUAUAUGAUUACUUCUCAGCCUUGUUUACAUCCACGCCGUAG
rnacentral:rRNA from 1 species